rnacentral:lncRNA from 1 species
UCAAGAUGUGAGCUCUCAGCUGCUGCCCCAGUGCCAUGCCAUGCCAUGCCAUGCCUGCCUGCCUGCCUGCCUGCCUGCUGUCAUGCUUCCCACCAUGAUGGUUAUGAACUCUAGCCCAAUGAAACUGCAAGCCCACAAUAAGCACUUUUUUGUAGGUUACUUUGGUCAUGGUGUCAUAUCACACAAUAGAAAAGUAACUAAGACAGUCUCCCUCUAGGUAGGUAUCAUUUUUAUCUCCUAGCACAUAAUCUUUUUUUCUUCAAGACAGGGUUUCUCUUUGUAGAGCAGGCUGACCUCGAAUUCACAGAGAUCUGACUGUCUCUGCUUCCCGAGUGCUGGGAUUAAAGGCAUGAGCUGACACUGCCCAGCUGCACAUAGUAAUUUUUAUCAGAGUCUACAAAGCACCUAUCAUGUUCAGGGCCUGGGCACAAGGGCAAGAAGUUGGAGCUGUUGCAAUCUAGAAGCUUGAAGGAACAGUCCUGCCUGCUCAGGAAAGGAUGCCUGGAGUUCUCACAAAUAUUGUGCAAACCCGAGUGUUAGAAGCAAAUGUUCAUCUCAUUCUUCUGGAAGGACAGAAUCCUACCCAAACAAAGGUGAGUCCCUAGCAGGCUCAUGGGACAGUGUUCAGUACAGCUUUGGUGGUGGUGACACUGAGGAAGUCACUUCACAAGGCCAAGGUUCAUUUCCUUCCUCUUCAAAUAUAGCUGAACGCAGGGAUGAGGCGUUGGUUCUUCUGAGAGCUGGUAAAGUCUCCACAGCCCAGCAUUGUUUCCUUUUAGGUGGCCUUUGAGAGAUCCUGUGUGAACAUUCUCAUGUGGUAGAGCCUGGACGUGUUUUUGGAAUGCAAGGGUGCCAUCUUGUGGAACUUUUGUUUUGAAUUCCUUUUAUCUGAAAGUGAUUGUAGAGAUACUGCAAGCGGUCUGUGCCAUCACCUUUUCUUUUUGCUUCAUCUACUCUAUGGCACUGAAGUGGUUGCCCUGUGAAUUGCACACCACAUUUUGAGAAUAUGCAUUUUGUUUUUACAAUGAUCCUUAUAUUUUUGGUUGUGAGUCUAGCCUUUAACAGCUGAGCCAUCUCUUCAGCCCCUUAGGAUGAUUCUUAAUGUGUCUAAAUUAAAAAGUAUUUUUAAUUAAACAUGUUUUAGUUUAUUUUUUUGUGUGUGUGUGUGGGUGGGUGGGAGAACCAUCUGGAAGUCACAAGGUAACUUUCGGGAGUCAAGUUAUUUCUUUCCACCAUGUGGGUCCUCAGGAUUGAACUCAGGUUAUCAACCUUGGCAACAGGUGCCUUUAACCACUGACCCAUCACAUAGGUCCCAGAACAUUGAUUGAUUCAUUUUUGAAACAGGGUUUCUUCAUGUAGUCCUGGCUGCUUGCAGCUCUCUAUGGUGACCAGGAUGGCCUUGAAUUCAAAGAGAUCCUCCUGCCUCUGCCUCCCCAGUGCUGGGAUUUAAGGCAUGCGCCACCAUACCUGCCACCCCUGAAUUUUUAAAAGAGCUGCACUUUAUUUUAUUUUGCAGUGCUGGGCUGCAAGAAUCAAAUGGAGCUCUGAACAUAUUCGAUUCCUGAAGUUUAGUGCUUCAUUUGCCUGUGCUGCCCUCUCUACCCAGCUGUGUGCUUAUUUACAGUUUACAAAGCCCCUACUAUGUGCCACAAGUGGUUUGAGGUUUCAGAAACACAGCCAGUGAGUACAAACAUGGACUUGCACUUGUGUUGGGGAAUUACAUUCUGAUUAGACUAACAGUAUCAUCAGACAAAAACUCCAUCUUCACACUUUCAGGAGAUGAUGCAGGGCUGGACACUGUGCUGAGCCGGUCCUCCCAUUCAUUCACUUUUUAUACACAGAUAUGUGUGGUACCCACAUGCCAUAGUGAGCAUUCAUGUGGAGGUUAGAGAACAGCUUAUGAGAAUCCAUUCUAUCCUCCCACUAGCUGGGUCCCAGGGAUCGAACUCAGAUUGCCAGGUUUUCUGGCAAGCACCUGUAUCUCUUGAGCCAUCUCAGUGGCUCUAAUUUCUAACUUACACAAAUUGUGGUUGCUAUAGGGCUCACUUCCCAUGUCUUAAGCUUAUUAUAUUGGACACAUAUCCCUGCUGUUUCAGGCCACAGUUCUAACCAAGUACUGUCUUCCUUGGCUCAUUUUAUUCAUGCAUUUCCUUAGUGAUGGACAUUGGUGUGGGCAGUCCUGACAGGAAUGCUUUUGGAGCCACCCUCAUGCCCC